rnacentral:rRNA from 1 species
AUUGAACGCUGGCGGAAUGCUUAACACAUGCAAGUCGAGCGGGGUGUAGCAAUACACCUAGCGGCGGACGGGUGAGGAAUACAUAGGAAUCUGCCUCAGAGCGGGGGAUAGCCCGGGGAAACCCGGAUUAAUACCGCAUGAUGUCGCAAGACCAAAGUGGGGGACCGCAAGGCCCCACACUCUGAGAUGAGCCUAUGUCCGAUUAGCUAGUUGGCGGGGUAACGCCCGCCAAGGCGACGAUCCGUAGCUGGUCUGAGAGGAUGAUCAGCCACACUGGGACUGAGACACGGCCCAGGCUCCUACGGGAGGCAGCAGUGGGGAAUAUUGGACAAUGGGCGCAAGCCUGAUCCAGCGAUGCCGCGUGUGUGAAGAAGGCCUGC